GCGCCGGUGGUGUAAGGCGAAUAUCGCUGCCCGGAAAGCAGAAGGUGCGGGUUCGAGUCCCGCCUGGCGCA
rfam:Heligmosomoides polygyrus genome assembly, scaffold: HPBE_scaffold0008566